GCGGGAGUAGCUCAGCGGUAGAGCAUCUGCUUCCCAAGCAGAGGGUCGCGGGUUCGACCCCCGUCUCCCGCUCCA
rnacentral:tRNA from 1 species